GUGCACUUCCAUCCUACAGGGACCAGAUCUGAACAGUCUGGAGAGAGGAGCUGUGGUGGCAGCAGACAGAUCUCUGCUUCAGGGGCCAGGUGUCUAGAAGAAAUGCUGAGGCAGUGUCACGCUGGUGUCUGUCCUCCUUACAGAAUGCCUGAACAGUUCCAUUGACUCAAAGUGAAGAUCAAAAGAACCAAAUGACAGCAAUAGCCAAGUGUAAUCAUCAGUAACCCUGUGUUCUAUCCACAGUUAAAAGAAUAUUGGCAGAGAAACAGCCUUGGUGUUCCAGCAGGAGUGAAGAGGAACAGGAAAACGAGUGGCAGUAGCCCUGAAAC
rnacentral:lncRNA from 1 species